rnacentral:rRNA from 1 species
GGAAUAUUGCACAAUGGGGGCAACCCUGAUGCAGCCAUGCCGCGUGUGUGAAGAAGGCCUUAGGGUUGUAAAGCACUUUCAGUGGGGAGAAAGGUUAUUCACCUAAUACGUGAGUAAAUUGAUGUUACCCACAGACGAAGCACCGGCUAACUCCGUGCCAGUAGCCGCGGUAAUACGGAGGGUGCAAGCGUUAAUCGGAAUGACUGGGCUUAAAGCGUACGUAGGUGGUUUGUUAAGCCAGCUGUGAAAUCCCCGGGCUCAACCUGGGCACUGCAGUUGGAACUGGCAAGCUAGAGUAGGGUAGAGGGGUGUGGAAUUCCAGGUGUAGCGGUGAAAUGCGUAGAUAUCUGGAGGAACAUCAGUGGCGAAGGCGACACCCUGGACUCAUACUGACACUGAGGUACGAAAGCGUGGGGAGCAAAC